rfam:Balearica pavonina gibbericeps contig102090, whole genome shotgun sequence.
AAACUGGCUUUUUUUAAAGCCCCCAAGAGACUGAGGAGAUGUUUC